rnacentral:rRNA from 1 species
CGCCAGACUCCUACGGGAGGCAGCAGUGGGGGAUAUUGGACAAUGGGGGAAACCCUGAUCCAGCGACGCCGCGUGAGUGAAGAAGUAUUUCGGUAUGUAAAGCCCUAUCAGCAGGGAAGAAGAAAUGACGGUACCUGAGUAAGAAGCACCGGCUAAAUACGUGCCAGCAGCCGCGGUAAUACGUAUGGUGCAAGCGUUAUCCGGAUUUACUGGGUGUAAAGGGAGCGUAGACGGCAGCGCAAGUCUGAAGUGAAAUGCCGGGGCUUAACCCCGGAACUGCUUUGGAAACUGUGCAGCUGGAGUGCAGGAGAGGUAAGUGGAAUUCCUAGUGUAGCGGUGAAAUGCGUAGAUAUUAGGAGGAACACCAGUGGCGAAGGCGGCUUACUGGACUGUAACUGACGUUGAGGCUCGAAAGCGUGGGGAGCAAACAGGAUUAGAUACCCUAGUACU